rnacentral:lncRNA from 1 species
GGCCACCUCUACCUUCUGUCGAAUAACUUCAUUCCUAAUCUUAUCCAGCCUGGUGUGCCCACACAUCCACCUAAGCAUCCUCAUCUCAGCAACCUUCAUGUCUUCUUGCUUGUUUUGGAUAUAUUAGGAAUUAAUCGACAAUUUAAGGAGACAAAGAAAAAAUAAGAGUAUGUUUGAUUUUGAGGAAAAUGUUUUAGAUCGAAAAAAAUUUACUUAGCGAAAUCAUGUUUUGGAUUAUUUUCCUGUUUUGGUA